AGCACUUAACUCAGGCCCUGCAUUAUGCAAUGUUUUUAAUCCUCUUACUUAGGGUGGAAAACUGAUAUGGUCCUCUAAGUUCACGUGAAUGACUGGAAAAAUAAUUCUAAGAAAUAAAAACAUCACCAUCAAUAUCACCUUACAGGCUCCCUGAAAGGAUUAAAACCAUGCAUACCUUGAAUUGUCAAGUGCCCUCUGCUGAACUCUCCUUGUGCCUUGUUGAUGUGAAGGUUCCUCAAGGGGAGAGGGACCAAGUAGAGAUCUCCUGGAGAAGACUGCAGCCUCUGUGGCUCAAGGACCCUCUACCCCUGCCCCCGACCUCCAACCUAGCUCCUCAAACGCAAAAACUGCAUCAUGUUCAUCUCUACAGUCCCAGCACCUAACACAGGCCCCAGCAUACAGCAGGCACUCAUAAAACAUUGGGUAAGGCCAGUGCUCAGUGAGAUGAAGAACUGUGGCACCCUGAUCCCUAGGUGGGCGAGGCUGUGGAGUAGGGAUCUGAACCAAGGUGCUCAGUCUGUCUCUCAGAUCUGUGUGGCGUUUCAGAGCUGGCCCUGCUCUUCCCUAUGAUGCUCCAUCCUUCUUAUCCUCAACCUCAGUGGGCACCCAAACUUCAGCACAUGUUUUAUGGGUGCUGCCCCUCAUCCUGAAUGCCUUCCAAUGUUUCUGGGGGGAGACUGAGGACAGAGGCCCUCUGAGUCUUCCAGCGUGAGAAGAGGGGCAUGACAGAUAUUAGCAUCUUCAUUUGACAGAGGAGAAAGCUGAGAUCAGAGAAGGGACUUCCCUGAAACCACACAGCAGGAACCCAGGUGGCCCAGCAUCCCUUCAGGUACACCCCAUUCUGGACCCCCUCCUUGUCCUCACCUAAGCUCUGGGGUUGACUUAUCUGCAAGGAGGAGGAACUACCCACAGGUUCUCAAAAUCCAGCUUUGGUGGCAAGUAGAUGUGAAACAGACACUAGGUCAUAUGAUGUGUGGUCAAACGCCAAGGUCAGAUUUGUCCCCGAGGGGCAGGGCUAAGAUCCAGUUGCUAAGACAUUUGGCCUGGGGAGUCUGCUGUGACUCAUAGCCUUUAAGGGAAGCACCUGGCUUCUCAGAGGGGUGCAAUGCUGUUCCUAGCAACUGGAGUAGGUCCAGGGGCAAAGAUGAACAGCAUCCCCAUGGCAAGUACUACAUCAUCUACAUCUCUAAGCCCCCACACUGGCAGCCCAACUGACACCAAGUGUUUCCACCACUUCUCAGAUUAAAUGGUGCUAGCAACAUUGUGCCCAAGCCUUUCCUAAUGCUGAAGAUGUGUCAUGCCCAGCCCAGAGCAAUGCUAGUAGAUGCCCAAUAAAUGAAUCUGUAAACUCACAAAGGCAGUCACCACACUGUGUGGCAGAAAGCUGGCUCUGCCCAAAUUAUAGAAAGCUCUGGCUUCUUUCUCAAAACAAAGAAAUGGUCCCAUGAAUACCCAGAAAUCUUUCAUUCUAUCAGAGGCAUGAAUGAUAAGUUUUCAGACUCAAGGGAGCUCUGGGUCACCCACCAAAGCUUACACACUUCUCUAGAUCAGUGGUGUUCAAAGGGUGGGCCCUUGGCAUUUGUGAAAAAUAAAAUUUUCAGGAUCCACUCCAGACCUAAUAAAUCAGAAACUGCAGAGGACCAGCAAUGGUUUAAUAAGCCUUGCAGGUGAUUCUAAUCCAAUAUUGUUUGAAAACGUCUGCUCUAAAUAAAAUCCCCCGAAAUAAUAACCCUAAGACAAAGCAGAUUUCUUCCUCCAAACCAGAAAAUAAAUAGCUGAUGUCACACACAUCACUCGUCACUAGCAUCAAAUCAAACUCCUCCAAAAUCACUUAUUUGGUAUCUGUUCCAUACAUAUCUG